GCUAAUCUGUCUGGUCCUCGUGCCCCUGCCUUGCUCCGUGGUCAGGGCAACAGAGUGAGAUUUCUGGCCAUUUGCUUCCAGCCGGGCAGGAGACUCAUCCACACUGCAUAUCUGUAGUCUGUUCCCUUUCGCUGCCUUGUGUUCAAUUGUGUCUGUGUAUGAGGGUGUGUCUACUCACCAGAUGGAGACCUUUUGGUCAUUUCCAGCUUAGAGGAAUUAUGAAUACAGCUAUGCCGGAGGUCAAAGGCUGGUGUGAUUCUUCAGGACAUCUGGGACCCGAGACUGGCUGAUUAGUCGAGGCUGACUGCCCAGGGAGUCACAAGGGUCUACCUGCCCCUGCUCCGAAGAGGUCUCUAAGGAGGUGGAGCCUUUUGUUCGGGGCCAUUAUCUUAUGUUGUACCCAUCUGAGCCCAUUCAUGCCUGCUCCACAGAAAGUUGAAGCCCUGAACCACUGACAGGCAGGAGCAGAUUCUCAAUGGCCUCACUCAGCAUGGUGUGCCGUCCUCACUCAGCCUAGUGUGCCAUCUUCAGAACUGGACAGAUGCCUGGCAGCUUGAAGUACACAGUGACAGAGUCAACUCUGCAAACACUGAAUGAAAUUCUGACUACAGUAUUCCCAGAGCAUGCAUGGAGAGGAGCCACCUCAGCCACUCAGGGAGUACAGAAUCAAGAAGAUCUGAAGCUGACCCUUUGCAUUCCUACUGAAAUGCAGAUAAUUCCUAAGCCUUCCAGACACCAAGGUCAACCAAAAAGGCAGCAUCCGGUCCUACUGCAGACCAUGUCUUCUGCCUACAUGUCAAGCUGCACGUGUCACCCAGCCCAGAGUACAAAUGUCAGAGUAUCACCGGAAGCCCUGGCAAGAUGCUGCUUUCAGAGGAGGUUCUGAUCAUCUCCAUGCUUUCCUGUAUCUGAAAGCCUCUCACCAUGUGUGUUACAUUGCUAAUGCAAAGGUACAGCAAAGACUCGAGGGAAAGAGAAAGAAACAAAUAAAAACUAUAACUCAUUCCUAGUGCAGAGUCUGCUGCGCAUAGGGAAGGCAAUAGGAGUCACGCAUUUGUGUCUCCAGAUGGUGUCAAAUGUACACAGGGAAGAUGCAUCUCCCUGGAGCAAGAGGUCUCAGUGCAGGUGGGGGGAGGCGGGGCCACUGAUGGGAGUAGUGGGAACAUCUGGACCCUUGGCUCCGUUGGCUUAGCCCCUUGACAGGAAAUCAAAUAUUAUAGAAAGGAAAAGGGUCGUGCCUGUGUCCCGGGUGUGAGAGACUUGCAGGACUACAGAGAAGGUUGUGGUCAUCUCUGCUUGACAGCAUUGCAGCUGUGCUGGACCGCACUUGAGAGUAUCUUAGCUACCACAACAACAGGAAGUCAUAGGAGCUCACAUCUAUCCUUCUCGGCAUCCUUAAAUGUGCUUUCUACUGUUCUGGGCAAACAUUGAAGGACA